GGUAGCUAAUAGGUGGUGGUGACCAUACCACUGUUUCUGAGCCAGCCUGGAGGAGCUAGGCACAGCAGGCUCAGAAGAGAAGGAAAAUGUUCUCCCUCCAUGCAGAACGGCCAGUUGUUGCAUUGCUCUCCUGGAAGGUGAGGGGAUUUGUGUGUGAUCUCCUUCAUGCAGACAAGUGCCCAGCCAGAGCACAGGGGUCGGCAUGCUGCCAAUGUUCGCCUCCUUGUCAUGAGCACACAAAGCCCCAAAAAGAAACUGAGCAAAUAUUUCCUAAGCUGCCACUUUCUGGGCCCUGUAAAUUGCAGAGAAGACCUGAAGAGCCUUGGGAGGAGGAGCAAGAAAUAUUUCCAACAUGAAAGACACCUUUCUUACCUGCAUCAUAUGUAUCAUCUUGCCUGCCUUAAUAUGGCAUCACCCCAGAGGU